ensembl:snoRNA SNORD15 Small nucleolar RNA SNORD15
CUUCAGUGACGAUACGAUGACGAGUCGGAUCGAGGACCAACUCUGAGGAUUCUGGGUCAGACUCACGUUCUGUGCGUCUGAUUUCAAGUCCUCGGAGAUCAUGCGUCCUCUAGAUUGAAGAUCUUGAGGCAUUUGUCUGAGAAGG